rnacentral:lncRNA from 1 species
AUAAAAUAAAAUAAACAGUGUAAUGUCAAAGACGUGGGUCGAGAAAGGUGCUGGGGAAAACUGUGUAAGUGGAGGAGGAGCGUUGUCGAAACAAAUAAACAAUGAUAUUGAACUAUUACGAAAAACUAACAAUGGUUUAUUACUCGAUAGUAGAAGUAAGAACAUUUUUACUGAGUCGUUAAGAAUCAAUAAUAGUACCACCAAUAGUAUAAAAACGAAUGGUUAUAAUAGUAGUAUUAAUAAUAACAAAAUAAACAAUAACAAAGUAAAUAAUGGCAGUGGUAGUGGUAGUGGUAGUAAUGUAUUGCUUAACAAAUAUAAUAGUAGAAAAAAUAUAAAUGUCAUGAAGAAUAUUUCAACUAAUAAUAGUAAAUCUUUAAAAAAUACAUGGAAUACUCAUGUGAUAAAGUCAUCUGAUUUAUUUAAUGAUAGUAUGUCAAAUAAGUUAAUGUAUAAAUCUAUAAAUUUGAUGAACACAAAUGAUACUAUAGUAAGCAAUAGAACAACCGAAAUGUAUGAUAAGAAUAUCAUGCACAAAAACAAAUAUAAAGCUAUACAACGUUUAAACAGUAACAGUGGUAAAAAAUUCAGCAAUACUACUAUAUACAAUGAUAGUUUUAAUUUAAAUUAUAAAAGUACUUUAUACCAUAAGAGUGGCAAUAUAAGUAACUAUCAUACAAAAAAAAGUGGAAUUACUACUACAAUAGAUGGUUUGAAAGAUAAAGAGGAAUACUACCAUACGAGAUCAAGUGUGAAUAGUAUAAUUUGUGCAGAUGGAUUAGAUGGUAAAUGUAUGUCGAGUAACACGAACGGUGGAAAUCAGGAAGUGGAAAAAUGGACAAAAGAUGGUAGCAAUGGAGGUAGUAGUGAUAAUAGCAGUGCAAUUACAAACGAUAUAAGCCAAAUAAAAGAAUCCAUUAUUAAAGACAUCCCUCGUAUUAUAAAAGAAACCACUAACACAAUUUUUCCAAAAGGUGUAGAUGCACAAGUUCAGAAUGCGUUUGAAAAAAAUAUAAUGAAUUGUAUUGUAGAUAAAGUAGCUGGUUUUAUGGAAAAAAAUGUAAAUGAAUUGAAUAGUAAUAUAAUAUAUGACAAAAUAAAUGAUAGUAUGAACAAUGAAAUAAAAAAAAAUAUUGAUGUUAUAUAUAGUAGUGUAAAAAGUAAUGUAAAUAAAAGUUUAACAGAUGAACUUGAAAAAAAUGUUAACUUUUUAAAUAUUAAUUUAAAUAAAAAUAUAAACAAAGAAAUAAAAAAUAAUAUAGAAGAAAUAUAUACAAAAGUAAAUGAAAAUGUAGAAGGAAAAUUAAAUACCAAAUUUUUUAAAGACAUGGGAAAUAAUAUAGAAAGUGUUUUAAUGAAAAAUGUAAAUGAUGAGUUAAAAAGAAAAAUGGAUAUUGUGAAAAAACAAUUGAAUGAUAAAUCUAAUGAAAAUAUUAAUAAAGAAUUAUUAAAAAAUAUACAUAUUUUAAAUGAAAACAUAAAUCAAAAUAUAAGUCAGGAAGUAAAAACAAAUAUGACAAUAAUCAAUCGUAAUAUUGAAGAAUACUUAGAAGAUUCAAUGGACAAAAACACACAUAUAUUAGUUAAAAAUAUUAGUGAAAAUUUAUAUGAAGAAGUAAAAAAUAAUAUAAAUUUAAUAGAAAAAAAUAUAGAGGUUAAUUUUAAUGAUUAUUUUUUGCAGUGUAAUUUUAAAAAAAUAGUACAAGAUGCAAGUUUUGACUUAGUAGAACAAAUUAAAGAACUAUUUAUUCUUUCGCAACCAUCAACACAGGGGAAUUUCAAAAAUGGUAUUACUAAUGAAGUGGUAAAUAGUAUAACAGACGAGUUAAAGAGUUGUAUCACAUCUGCUAUAACUAACGACGUAACAAAUAAACUGAAAAAUGGUAUUACCGAAGAGUUAGUAAACGUGACAAAUGUAAUAAAAGGCGAAAUUAUUAACGAAAUACAAACAAAAUUUACUGUUUUGAAUCAACAUAAUUCGAAUUCUGAAAAAGAAAGAACAGAAGACGUUAUACAAAAAAUAACCAAUCUUCAAACAGAGCUACACAAUUAUCAAAACAUGAAUGUAAAUGACAAAAUAGAUAAAAAUUUUUUGAGGAUGCAAGAAAAUGUUAAAGAAAUGAUAAGCGAUUGUAUUACUACUAUCACUGCUAAUAAUGAUAUAAAAAGGAAUAAUGAUAAUGGAACAUAUGAAAUAGUAAUUAACAAAUUAAAUGAACAUUUUGAAAUGUUAACAAAGAAAAUGUUAUCUAACAUGACUAAAAAUGAAACACAAAUAACAAAUAAAGGUAGUAAUAAUAGUAAUAAUAAUAAUAAUAAUAGUAAUAAUAAUAAUAAUAAUAAUAAUGAUUACAAAAGAUGUAUAAACGGUUUGAAAGAAUAUUUAAAUUUAUUUGAAAAAAGAAUAAAUAGCACUCUUGAAAAUAAUACUAAUUCGUUGAUAAAUAUAUGUGAAAAUGUUAUGAAUGGUUCAGAAAAUAAUAAUGACAAUCAUAAUAAUGAUAAUAUACUGGGAAUAAUAAACAAAGUAACUGAAAAAUGUGAAAAACGUUUAUAUGAACAAAUCCAAAAUGUCGAGAAAACACAAAAAAAAAUAGAUACAAACUUUAACAAUAUUCAGGAAAAACAUAGCAAAAUUGUCAUAAAUGAAUUAAAAAAUACAAUAAAUGAAACAACAAAAAAUUUAGUUGAAAAUACAACGAAGGAUAAAAACAGUCGCAUUCUUAUUGACCAAGUUAUUGAAACUAUAAACGAACGGAUUGGAAAAAAUGCAAAUCCAACACAUCAAUUGGUCAGCCAAAUGAAUGACAAUUUGUUGAUCAUUUUGUCGGAAGUCAUGAAGCAGAGGGGUAGUAGUAAUAGUGGCAGCGGAAGCGGAAGCGGAAGUAGUAGCAACAACAGCAAUAACACCAUCAGUGGUAACGAAAAACUACCUUUAAAUAUACACAAGUCUGUAAUAAACUAUAAAAACAAAGAUGCUAAAUUAACAGAAUUAAAAAGUGUAUAUAAUACCAUGGUCGAUAAGAUUAAAUGUCAAAAAGAGACAACCACUUUUAAAGAACAUUUUAAUAAAAAUAAAAACAAUCAAUGUGGUUAUAACAAAGAUAUUAGUCAUAAUAGUAACACCAAAAAACAAAUAACAAGGAACAAACAUAUGAAACAAAACAAAAGAAUUGUCGUAUCUAAUUUGACUAAUAACCCUGUUAAUAACAAAAAAGCACUAUAUGUAGUUAACUACAUGAAGAAUGAAAAAAAUGAACUCAUCGAAGUUUCAGAGUGGGGUAAACACAAAAAAAUUAGAAAAAUAUUUUU